UACGGGGGGGGCAAGCGUUGUUCGGAAUUACUGGGCGUAAAGGGCUCGUAGGCGGCCAACUAAGUCAGACGUGAAAUCCCUCGGCUUAACCGGGGAACUGCAUCUGAUACUGGAUGGCUUGAGUUCGGGAGAGGGAUGCGGAAUUCCAGGUGUAGCGGUGAAAUGCGCAGAUAUCAGGAGGAACACCAAUGGCGAAGGCAGCACUCUGGGACGUGACUGACGCUGAGACGCGAAAGCGUGGGGAGCAAACAGG
rnacentral:rRNA from 1 species